GGGUAGAACUCAGUGGUAGAGUGUGUACUUAGCAUGCACGAGGUCCUGGGUUCAAUCCCCAGUCCUCCCA
rnacentral:tRNA from 1 species